rnacentral:rRNA from 1 species
GAGUUUGAUCCUGGCUCAGGAUGAACGCUAGCGGCAGGCUUAAUACAUGCAAGUCGAGGGGCAGCACAGGUAGCAAUACUGGGUGGCGACCGGCAAACGGGUGCGGAACACGUACGCAACCUUCCUUUAAGUGGGGGAUAGCCCAGGGAAACUUGGAUUAAUACCCCUUAAUAUUAUUGAGUGGCAUCACUUGAUAAUUAAAGCUCCGGCGCUUAAAGAUGGGCGUGCGCCUGAUUAGGUAGUUGGCGGGGUAACAGCCCACCAAGCCUACGAUCAGUAACUGGUGUGAGAGCACGACCAGUCACACGGGCACUGAGACACGGGCCCGACUCCUACGGGAGGCAGCAGUAAGGAAUAUUGGUCAAUGGACGCAAGUCUGAACCAGCCAUGCCGCGUGGAGGAUGACGGCCCUCUGGGUUGUAAACUCCUUUUAUCUGGGAAGAAAUGCAGAUUUUCUAAUCUGUUUGACGGUACCAGAGGAAUAAGCACCGGCUAACUCCGUGCCAGCAGCCGCGGUAAUACGGAGGGUGCAAGCGUUAUCCGGACUCACUGGGUUUAAAGGGUGCGUAGGUGGAGUGGUAAGUCAGUGGUGAAAUCUCCCAAGCUCAACCUUGGAAACUGCCGUUGAUACUAUCAUUCUUUGAAUAAUCCG